rnacentral:lncRNA from 1 species
CAAUGUCCUUCUUCAUUCCAGGCCACCAACAUUGACGCUUGAGGUCCUGGUACAUUUUGGUACUCCUGAGGUGGAUGAACAGUUUGGAGGAAUGGGUAGCCUUGAAAACAUCCAUCCUGAUAGUGACAGGGAUCCAAAUACGAUCUCAAAAUCUGCACAACCCAUCAUUAGUCAACCUGAAAUUAGGAAACUCGUUAGAAGUAAACUUACUCAAUUUUUUGGUGAUUUCUCAGUCCAUGGAUUGAGUUUUCCAAAUCUUCAUAAAAAGAUUGGACAAAGCUCAAAUCUGAGCGAGAUAUGCACCGUUGCCAUACUAGUUGAUUCGGAGUGCCUGGAUAGCAUCAACUAAUUUCUAACUAAAGGCCAUGGUUUGGGUCAACACAGCGGACUCCUUUUGGCUCAGCGCAUCUGUGACUGCAUUACCUCUACC